GACGAACGCUGGCGGCGUGCUUAACACAUGCAAGUCGAACGGAAAGGCCCUGCUUGCAGGGUCCUCGAGUGGCGAACGGGUGAGUAACACGUGGGUGAUCUGCCCUGCACUUCGGGAUAAGCCUGGGAAACUGGGUCUAAUACCGGAUAGGAGCCAUUUUUAGUGUGAUGGUUGGAAAGUUUUUUCGGUGUAGGAUGAGCUCGCGGCCUAUCAGCUUGUUGGUGGGGUAAUGGCCUACCAAGGCGGCGACGGGUAGCCGGCCUGAGAGGGUGGACGGCCACAUUGGGACUGAGAUACGGCCCAGACUCCUACGGGAGGCAGCAGUGGGGAAUAUUGCACAAUGGGCGCAAGCCUGAUGCAGCGACGCCGCGUGGGGGAUGACGGCCUUCGGGUUGUAAACUCCUUUCGCUAGGGACGAAGCUUUUUGUGACGGUACCUAGAUAAGAAGCACCGGCUAACUACGUGC
rnacentral:rRNA from 1 species